rnacentral:rRNA from 1 species
CCUACGGGAGACAGCAGUGAGGAAUAUUGGUCAAUGGGCGAGAGCCUGAACCAGCCAAGUCGCGUGAGGGAGUACUGCCCUAUGGGUUGUAAACUUCUUUUGUCGGGGAGCAAAAUCCGGACGUGUCCGGCUGUUAGAGUACCCGAAUAUAAAGCGUCGGCUAACUCCGUGCCCGCAGCCGCGGUAAUACGGAGGAGGCGGGGGGUAUCCGGAUUUAUUGGGUUUAAAGGGUGCGCAGGCGGAUUGUUAAGCCAGCGGUAAAAGCGUGGGGCUUAACCCCAUCCAGCCGUGGAAACUGGGGAUCUGGAGUGUGCGAGAGGUAUGCGGAAUGCGUGGUGUAGCGGUGAAAUGCAUAGAUAUCACGCAGAACCCCGAUGGCGAAGGCAGAAUACCGGUGCGCAACUGACGCUCAGGCACGAAAGCGUGGGUAUCGAACAGGAUUAGAUACCCGGGUAGUC